CCUACGGGGGGCAGCAGUGAGGAAUAUUGGUCAAUGGGCGGGAGCCUGAACCAGCCAAGCCGCGUGAGGGAAGAAGGUACAGCGGAUCGUAAACCUCUUUUGUCAGGGAACAAAGGCGGGGACGCGUGCCCGGAUGAGGGUACCUGAAGAAAAAGCCUCGGCUAACUCCGUGCCAGCAGCCGCGGUAAUACGGAGGAUGCGAGCGUUAUCCGGGGUUAUUGGGGUUAAAGGGGUCGUAGGCGGGCUGUUAAGUCAGCGGUAAAAGGCCGGGGCUCAACCCCGGCCGGCCGGUGAAACUGGGGGUCUGGAGUUGGAGAGAAGUAUGCGGAAUGCGCGGUGUAGCGGUGAAAUGCAUAGAUAUCGCGCAGAACUCCGAUUGCGAAGGCAGCAUACCGGCUCCACACUGACGCUGAGGCACGAAAGCGUGGGCAUCGAACAGGAUUAGAUACCCGAGUAGUC
rnacentral:rRNA from 1 species